GAUGAACGCUGGCGGCGUGCCUAAUACAUGCAAGUCGAGCGAACAGACGAGGAGCUUGCUCCUCUGACGUUAGCGGCGGACGGGUGAGUAACACGUGGAUAACCUACCUAUAAGACUGGGAUAACUUCGGGAAACCGGAGCUAAUACCGGAUAAUAUAUUGAACCGCAUGGUUCAAUAGUGAAAGACGGUUUUGCUGUCACUUAUAGAUGGAUCCGCGCCGCAUUAGCUAGUUGGUAAGGUAACGGCUUACCAAGGCAACGAUGCGUAGCCGACCUGAGAGGGUGAUCGGCCACACGGGACCUGAGACACGGUCCAGACUCCUACGGGAGGCAGCAGUAGGGAAUCUUCCGCAAUGGGCGAAAGCCUGACGGAGCAACGCCGCGUGAGUGAUGAAGGUCUUCGGAUCGUAAAACUCUGUUAUCAGGGAAGAACAAAUGUGUAAGUAACUAUGCUCGUCUUGACGGUACCUAAGCAGAAAGCCACGGCUACCUACGU
rnacentral:rRNA from 1 species